GAGUACGGCCGCAAGGCUGAAACUUAAAGGAAUUGGCGGGGGAGCACUACAACGGGUGGAGCCUGCGGUUUAAUUGGACUCAACGCCGGAAAACUCACCGGGGGCGACAGCAAUAUGUAGAUCAGGUUAAAGGUCUUACCUGAAUCGCUGAGGGGAGGUGCAUGGCCGUCGUCAGUUCGUACUGUGAAGCAUCCUGUUAAGUCAGGCAACGAGCAAGACCCGUGCCCACUGUUACCAGCAUAUCCUUUAUGGAUGAUGGGGACUCUGUGGGGACCGCUGCUGCUAAAGCAGAGGAAGGUGCGGGCUACGGUAGGUCAGUAUGCCCCGAAUCUCCCGGGCUACACGCGGGCUACAAUGGUUGGGACAAUGGGUAUCUACUCCGAAAGGAGUUGGCAAUCUCUUAAACCCAAUCGUAGUUCGAAUUGAGGGCUGUAACUCGCCCUCAUGAAGCUGGAAUCCGUAGUAAUCGCGUUUCAACAUAGCGCGGUGAAUCUGUCCCUGCUCCUUGCACACACCGCCCGUCAAACCAUCCGAGUGAGGUAUGGGUGAGGGCACGAACUUAGUGUCGUGCUCGAACCUAAAUUUCGCAAGGAGGGUUAAGUCGUAACAAGGUAGCCGUAGGGGAAUCUGCGGCUGGAUCACCUCCU
rnacentral:rRNA from 1 species